rnacentral:rRNA from 1 species
AGUGAACGCUGGCGGCGUGCCUAAUACAUGCAAGUCGAACGGAGAUUAAGUAGCGUGCUAUUUAAUCUUAGUGGCGCACGGGUGAGUAAUAUAUAGCUAACUUGCCCAUUACUAAGGGACAACAGUUGGAAACGACUGCUAAUACCUUAUACUCCGUAUCUAUACAAGUGGGUACGGGAAAGUUUUUCGGUAAUGGAUAGGGCUAUAUCGUAUCAGCUAGUUGGUAAGGUAAUGGCUUACCAAGGCUAUGACGCGUAACUGGUCUGAGAGGAUGAUCAGUCACACUGGAACUGAGACACGGUCCAGACUCCUACGGGAGGCAGCAGUAGGGAAUAUUGCUCAAUGGGGGAAACCCUGAAGCAGCAACGCCGCGUGGAGGAUGACACUUUUCGGAGCGUAAACUCCUUUUCUUGGGAAAGAAUUAUGACGGUACCCAAGGAAUAAGCACCGGCUAACUCCGUGCCAGCAGCCGCGGUAAUACGGAGGGUGCAAGCGUUACUCGGAAUCACUGGGCGUAAAGGACGCGUAGGCGGAUUAUCAAGUCUCUUGUGAAAUCUAACGGCUUAACCGUUAAACUGCUUGAGAAACUGAUAAUCUAGAGUAAGGGAGAGGCAGAUGGAAUUCUUGGUGUAGGGGUAAAAUCCGUAGAGAUCAAGAAGAAUACCCAUUGCGAAAGCGAUCUGCUGGAACUUAACUGACGCUAAUGCGUGAAAGCGUGGGGAGCAAACAGG